CUCGAUCGCACAUAAGAUCAGGUUGCUCCCGGAAGUCAGCGGCGGACGGGUGAGUAACACGUAGGUAACCUGCCCCUUAGACUGGGAUAACUCCGGGAAACCGGAGCUAAUACGGUAAUAAUAAAGAGAAUCACCUGAUUCUCUUUUGAAACACUGUUUCCGAUGUCACUAAUGGCAUUAUCCUGACUUGCCCACUACCUAGUUGUUAAGGUACCGUCUUACCAAGGCGACGAUGCGUAUGCGACCUCCAGAGUCUGAUCGGCCACGCUGAUAUUGAGACAUCCCCCCCACUCCUACGGUUAGGUCACCAGUAGGGAAUCUUCCACAGUGAAUGGACGAAAGUCUGACGGAGCAACGCCGCGUGAGUGAGGAAGGCCUUCGGGUCGUAAAGCUCUGUUGUGAGGGAAGAACAAGUACCGGCGUAACUACCGGUACCUUGACGGUACCUCACCAGAAAGCCACGGCUAACUACGUGCCAGCAGCCGCGGUAAUACGUAGGUGGCAAGCGUUGUCCGGAAUUAUUGGGCGUAAAGCGCGCGCAGGCGGCUUCUUAAGUCUGAUGUGAAAUCUCGGGGCUCAACCCCGAGCGGCCAUUGGAAACUGGGAAGCUUGAGUGCAGAAGAGGAGAGUGGAAUUCCACGUGUAGCGGUGAAAUGCGUAAACACCAGUGGCGAAGGCGACUCUCUGGUCUGUAACUGACGCUGAGGCGCGAAAGCGUGGGGAGCAAACAGGAUUAGAUACCCUGGUAGUCCACGCCGUAAACGAUGAGUGCUAGGUGUUAGGGGUUUCGAUGCCCGUAGUGCCGAAGUAAACACAUUAAGCACUCCGCCUGGGGAGUACGGCCGCAAGGCUGAAACUCAAAGGAAUUGACGGGGACCCGCACAAGCAGUGGAGCAUGUGGUUUAAUUCGAAGCAACGCGAAGA
rnacentral:rRNA from 1 species